ACAUAGUAUAAAAUGAUAUAAAAGAUACGAAAAAUCAUACGAUGUCAUAAUUUUGCAGAUGCAUAUCAUCGCGAAACUUAACCUAAAAGUCGAUAUAUGCGUGGCAACAUACUUGAAACUGUGCGAGUCAACCUUUAAACCGCACAUAUUACUGCUUUCUCUCACCAGCUGCUCGCGUUUGCGCAGAAACGAGACGCGUUGAUAAUAGCUCGAUAAAGGAGAAUUUAAAUACCUAUUAAAACUAAGGAUUAUGACUUGGCGGACGAAUACACGAACAUUCGUUUCUCAGACGGCAGACGCAAUAAAAACGUCUAGCUCGAUUGUAAAUACAGUGGUUGGUGUUUAAACAUCCGGAUUCUCGUGACACGAGGGAUCUGCAGCGUCUUUUUGGUCGAGCCACGAACAAAGGAAAGGGCCUGAGAUCUGGCAACAAGGGAAACCUUUCGGAAAGGAUACACCAUAGUGGCGAUCAUGGUGGCUAAGCACGAUGCCUCCGUCCUCCAAAAAACAUCUGUCGGAAGACAGACCUGCAUAAACGCACGUUUCGCCUCUUUCUUUGCUAACACCGGCUGGUGCUCCACGAAAAAUACCAUCGCUUCGUAAAUGCAAUUCACCGAGAAAUUUAAAACGUUUGGAAAUCCAAUAUCCGAUUUUUGCGAAGUGGUUUAGUUUUUAAGAAUAUAAUAUUUUUAGAUACGUACAUUUUGUGAAUUUUUUUAAUUAUAAAAAAUAACGUUGAUUGAUUAAUGUAUAUUUAUCGUUUAAAGUUAUUUACAUAGUUUUUUAAUAAUCGAUAUAAAGAUAUUUGUUGCAUACCAAGAAUUAUUUAUUAUAUAGAUGAAAUUUUGAUUAUUACGUAUUAUUACGUAUCUAAUCUAAAUAUUUUAAUAUUAAUUUUAUUUAUUCAUUUAAUAAGAAUAGAAUACUCAAAAUCUCAAAACGCAGUUAAGAAUAAUUUACAUUGUAAAUUUCGUUUGAAAUUCACAUUUUCGGGAGAAUUUAUUUUAGAUAUUCCUUAAAAAAAUCUAAUAUUUAGGAAUUUUUUAUUUGAAAAAUAAGUAAAGAAAGACGUAAACUUUGUAAUUUUAAUAAAUAUAAUUUAUUAAAUAUUCAUAUUUAUUUAAAAUAGUUUAGAAUAUUAUAGAGAAAAUUUAAUUUUUUAAAACACGAAACUAGACCAAAAGAAAAAUUUAAAUAUUCAUAAUAUUAACAAAGCCAAUAGUAAUGUACAAUGAUUAGAGUAGAAAGGAGUCUGGUGCAUAAACCUGUAAGCCCUGACCUGAAGCAUCGUGCACGGUCAGACCAUAGAUCAAACUCUGUCUUGGUAACUUGAAAACGAACUUAUUCUAAAACCGUGUAUUCAUUGAACUACAUUGAAGGUUUGAAGAUAGACAAAAGAAAAGGACGAAACCUCAUAAUGGAAAAUCCACAUCCAUUGGAAUACAAAGAGAAGAUUGUGCAUCCAUGAAUACAAAAGAUUUCUUGUGGGUCAGGAGCGUGGGUAGAAGCAAGGAACUGGAGCGCCCCUUCUACAACCUGCCCCUCCUCGUUUCUACUUUCACCCUGCACCUUCUGCGUUUAUCCAGCUCUGUGGAGUGCAUAUUACUGGAAAACAUCUGCUGGGAAUGUAGGCGAGCUCUGGCAUUGACGAUGCAUGUUCCAUAUCAAUUAAUAUCGGCGAUAAAUUCAGUAACGGUAAAUUCAGAUAUAGAAAAAUUGUAUCGAAGCAUCGAGUAAUUUUCACAAAUUUUCUAACUAACAAUUAUUAAAAUAAUUUUUCUAAUUUUUUCUCUUUCUGUCUUUUCUUCUCCAUAUCUUUUAACGUAUAGGAUAAAAGAAAUGUUGCAAUGAAUUUGUUAAUUCUUAUCAUUGAUUUAUAUAUAAAUUAUUAUUUAAGCCAAUAUACUUUCUAAGAAUAUAGAGAUUUGAAUAUUUUUUAUUAUUUAUUGGGAUAAAUAAUUUCUAAUUUUUUAGUUUUUUUUUCUUUUUUUUUUAUUUUAAUACUUAUCGAUUUAAUUGAUCUAUUUUAACAUGGAUUAUAGUCUUAGUUAGAAACAAAUAAAUUAUCAAUCUGAUUUUAUUAAGUGUUUUUAAAUCACGUUGGACUAAUAAACCAAAUAAAUGAUAGUGAAUAUAUAGCGUUUGGAAAAUAGAUUGAAAAUAAACUUUCUAUUCUAAUUUUAUUUCGUUUCGGCAACAUAUUAUCACGCCAUAUGUUGUAUUGACGUAUCGAUAAAUAAAACCGACUUUCUUUUGAUUUUUU